CUGAAACCGUAAAAUAAUGAAGUUACUCACCACAUCACAGUGGCUGUUCCAUGUUACUAUUAGUUUAACCCCAGGCAGAUCUUCCGCCAGUUGGUUAUCGGUGC